rnacentral:sRNA from 2 species
GAGGAUGAGAACCUCCGGGGGUAAGAGGUUCGACUCGAGCGAAGCGAGAGAACGUUGCGCCAGCAACGGCCCGCAGGGCGAGCCACGCAGUGGCGAGUCAUCCUC